GGCGGGCUGCCCGGUGCGUGUGGAACAAUUUUUCCCUGGGGCCUAUGAUCGAUUCUGAAGGGAGCUGUCCCUGUUCCGGGCCGUGGCCUGGAGUACACGGCGCCCACCUACGUAAGUAGGGACCCGGGAUCGCACGUUCCCACGGCCAAUGGUGGCUCGCCG
rnacentral:other from 1 species